UUUGUGGUUAUACAUUCUGGUUGAGUUUAAAAAAAAUUUCCUACCUAACUGCGUUGCAACACACCGGCCAGAAAGUUUAUUCUCUUCCGUUCUUCAACUUUCAUUCGAUUCUUCCUUCCCCGACCAUGCACAAACACACCUCCACCCAUGAUCGCAUCUUCAAGUUCGACUCCACCAAAGAGAACUUUUUCUGUUCUUAGACUCUUCCUGCCGAUUUAUUGACGACAAAAUUUGUCGCGACCGUGAUGAUAACAGUGAUGACUUCCGCCGACGAUUGACGAGUACUGACAACGGAAGUUUAUCUUUUUCAUGCUUCCACACCCCUCUGAUCCUUUAGUAAAUUGAGCAAAUUUUGCUUUUGCGAUUUUUCACUUUGCUGCUGCUUGUGUUUUAUAGGUCUAUGAAGGGCUAAAUUUGGAUACAGCUAGGAGCUACAUCAACUCAUCAAAGAGUUUGGAGGCAAUAAAAAUUUUGGUUCUUUCGGUACCCCCAUGAUGCAAUGAAACAAGAAACAGGUUAUUGGGCAGUGGGGGGGCAGGAUUCACUGCGAAGGGUUACAAUGUAACUUUUCUGAUCUCUGCUUUGAUUUUCCAUGUAAGCUCUCCCUGUUAUUAUAUAUAUGUAUUUCUUGAGAAAAUAGAGUCUUUGGAAAGUUAAAUUGUCAUCCCAAACUAGCACCCUUAAUUUGAAUUAGGUGGAGAAAGGAAGUUUAAUGCUUUGUGGCUUUCUAAUUUACUUUAUUCUUCUGGGAUGAGGUCUUUGGGAAGAUCUGCAGUUUCUAUGUUCAUUAGUUAUUGUUUCUCCCCAACAAUGAUAGGAGAUGAAAAAAUAGAAUUGGAUACUGCCACGUGAUGCCUUUCCCAAUCAAUGGCAGGUAUGGCUUUUAAAAAGAUCAUUCAAAAAGCAAACUUUUAAAAUCCACACGUUACACUUAUUUGUAUACUGAUAGUUCUUGUCUCUUACAGUUUAUAAAUUAUGCAGCUUUUGUGUGAUGUAUAUUCUCCAAUGAGAUUCUAUUGAGGCUUGCUUUCCAUCUUCUGUUUAAUUUCGUUGCCUAAUAAGAUUUUGGAAAGCCUUUUGUUAACGCCAUCAUAGUUUAAUUUUCAUGGGAGUUAAUUUGUUGAACUUUGGUUGGCCUAAAUAGAUGAGUGACUGAUCAAUGGAGGAAUGCUCCAUUAGGACUACUGCCCCAAGUUUCUUCGACUAGAACACUCCGAGGCUUAAAUGUUGAAAGGUGUUUUGAAUGGCAGAGAUAUGUCCAUAGUUCAUGGGCUAAAACUUACCUAAUUCUCUCAUUAACAAUGGUGGACACUUGUUUGUAUGCAAGAAGUAGAAAUUUCACAUUCUUGUUCGAUGAUUUUGAUGAGCUUCUUUUAUUCUGUUGAACUGUAACAUUUAUUUCAGUUUGAGAAGUAUAUAUUAAUAUUGAAAUUUCAAUCA